UACGUAGGGUCCGAGCGUUGUCCGGAUUUAUUGGGCGUAAAGAGCUCGUAGGCGGCUCAGUAAGUCGGGUGUGAAAACUCCAGGCUCAACCUGGAGACGCCACCUGAUACUGCUGUGGCUAGAGUCCGGUAGGGGAGCAUGGAAUUCCUGGUGUAGCGGUGAAAUGCGCAGAUAUCAGGAGGAACACCGGUGGCGAAGGCGGGUCUCUGGGCCGAUACUGACGCUGAGGAGCGAAAGCGUGGGGGAGCGAACAGGA
rnacentral:rRNA from 1 species